UACGGAGGAGGCAAGCGUUAUCCGGAAUUAUUGGGCGUAAAGCAUCCGCAGGUGGCCCCUCAAGUCUGCUGUCAAAGACCGGGGCUUAACCCCAGAAAGGCAGUGGAAACUGAAGUGCUAGAGUGCAGUAGGGGUAGAGGGAAUUCCCGGUGUAGCGGUGAAAUGCGUAGAGAUCGGGAAGAACAUCGGUGGCGAAAGCGCUCUGCUGGACUGCAACUGACACUCAGGGACGAAAGCUAGGGGAGCGAAUGGG
rnacentral:rRNA from 1 species